AUUGAACGCUGGCGGCAUGCCUUACACAUGCAAGUCGAACGGCAGCACGGGAGCAAUCCUGGUGGCGAGUGGCGAACGGGUGAGUAAUAUAUCGGAACGUGCCCAGUCGUGGGGGAUAACGUAGCGAAAGCUACGCUAAUACCGCAUACGAUCUAUGGAUGAAAGCGGGGGAUCGCAAGACCUCGCGCGAUUGGAGCGGCCGAUAUCAGAUUAGGUAGUUGGUGAGGUAAGGCUCACCAAGCCGACGAUCUGUAGCUGGUCUGAGAGGACGACCAGCCACACUGGGACUGAGACACGGCCCAGACUCCUACGGGAGGCAGCAGUGGGGAAUUUUGGACAAUGGGCGCAAGCCUGAUCCAGCAAUGCCGCGUGCAGGAUGAA
rnacentral:rRNA from 1 species